rnacentral:rRNA from 1 species
CGAGCGAAGCAUUUAAAGGAAGUUUUCGGAUGGAAUUUGGAAUGACUGAGCGGCGGACGGGUGAGUAACGCGUGGGUAACCUGCCUCAUACAGGGGGAUAACAGUUAGAAAUGACUGCUAAUACCGCAUAAGCACACAGUACCGCAUGGUACAGUGUGAAAAACUCCGGUGGUAUGAGAUGGACCCGCGUCUGAUUAGCUGGUUGGCGGGGUAACGGCCCACCAAGGCGACGAUCAGUAGCCGACCUGAGAGGGUGACCGGCCACAUUGGGACUGAGACACGGCCCAAACUCCUACGGGAGGCAGCAGUGGGGAAUAUUGCACAAUGGGGGAAACCCUGAUGCAGCAACGCCGCGUGAGUGAAGAAGUAUUUCGGUAUGUAAAGCUCUAUCAGCAGGGAAGAAAGUGACGGUACCUGACUAAGAAGCCCCGGCUAACUACGUGCCAGCAGCCGCGGUAAUACGUAGGGGGCAAGCGUUAUCCGGAUUUACUGGGUGUAAAGGGAGCGUAGACGGCACAGCAAGUCUGAAGUGAAAUCCCCGGGCUCAACCCGGGAACUGCUUUGGAAACUGUUGGGCUGGAGUGCUGGAGAGGCAAGCGGAAUUCCUAGUGUAGCGGUGAAAUGCGUAGAUAUUAGGAGGAACACCAGUGGCGAAGGCGGCUUGCUGGACAG